rnacentral:lncRNA from 1 species
UUCAAAGUGUUAGCCUAUUUCAUUACAAACUCAAAUAGGGGACACUUUGAUCUAAAAAAAAAAAAAAAGUGUUUUAGAUCUGUGCUAAUUAGCAGCUAUCCUUAAAUAUUUUUACAAUAAAUUUGAUGAAAAAAAUGUUAUAAUCUGUCAUGCUUACUGUAUGCUUAAAAUGAGAAGAUCAUACAUGAAGAUGAUAUGAUAUGACAUAUUAUUCAUGAAUCAUUGUAUUGGACAUACUGAAACAAAAAAAUUAGAAACAUGAAAGUGAAAACACAACAAAUACAGUCUAAAGCAACUGGUUUAAAAAAACAAACAAACAAACAAAAAACAAACAAACAAAAAAAAACACAGAAAUGAGAUAUUGCUAUGAUCAUGAAUGAUUGUUUUCAAAGCACAACUUCCAUUUAAAAAUAAAAGGAAUGGAGAAAGUAAUCAAAUUCUAUAUAAUUUUAUUUAAAUGUUUUGUUUUGGUUUUAAAUCAAUCUUUUUUUUUUUUCUUUUUCUUUUUUUUUUUGCCAGUAGCAAAACAUUUUUGGUAGGUUCUCAUUGUAAGGACCCAUGUGCCUGCUGAUACAAAGGUCUUCCGAAGUGCAACAGGCCCUUGAAGGGAAUUGCCUGCCCUCCAGCUCCACCCUGCAGCCAGUAUAUAAGUAAGGAAGGUGACCCAGGGCAAUUGAUGAAAGUCUGAGCUACUGCAGGAGGCACUUUGGAAUAAUGAGUUGCUGCACUACAAAGACUGCUCAGCUGUAUGGAGGCAACUAUCAAGGCAAAGGGAAGGAUGGCAACAGCAUCAGAAGUGAGAGCAGAACAAGAAGGAAAACAAGUAAACAUCCUUCAAUGAAAACCCACUGUCCUUCCAGGAUCAGUGACAUCCCAGGGACUGUUAGACUUGCAUGUUCAUAUGCCUAGAGCUGGACUGUGGGAUAUGGAUGUUGAUUAAAACUCCUUUCUGUGUCUACUCACCCCAGGUGUCCAAACCAGCUUGAGGUUGCUCCAGCUGUAUCUGUUAGAGGAGAGCUGGGAGUUGUGAGUCUGCAGGAAAGACUUCAGCUGUUGGACAUGGACAGUCCCUGAGUGCCUCUUGGGGGAGAGUUCAAAGCAGCUUGAGUUCAUCAGAAGCUUAAAUAGCAUAGAAAAUCUUUCAAAACAGCAUUGUACCCCAGCAUUGUUGGAGGGACAUUGCUUUGGGAGGUGUUUAGCUGCUGUGGCAUUAGUGAAGUUCUGUCUUGAGUGGGACAGCCUUGUACCUCUUUUUUGCCCAGCAGAGAUAAAACAGCUUAAGUGUAUCAGGUGGGGCUAAUGCUCUAGGAGCCCAAUGAGAAAAUGGCUUGAAUGGAAAGAAUAGCUGUUUUCAAGAUCUGCAGGAUUUCACUCAGAAACCCUGCUAUGUUUUAGAGAUGGUCCUGUUGCUGUUCAUCCUUUGUAGCUUUUCAAAUAUCUGGUAGGAAGUCAGUGGCAAUUCUCAUGUUGAUUCUAGUGGGGCUUUAUCUCAACAUUUAUUUACCAUCUCUUUCUUCUAAAGCAGCUUAACACAGAUUAUCAAAUACGACUGCUAUUUCAUCACACCCUUAGACCACCACAUCUAGAUUGUUCAAGAUCUGAGGGACACCAUACAGGAAAUACAAGGUUUCACUUAUUGCAGUCUCCACCAGCCUUGAAGAUGACACUUCCUUGUCCACAAUAAUAGAAUAUUGACUGUGUGGUUUUGCCAGUUUUGGCCUGUUUUUUUUUUUUUUUUUUUUUUUUUUUUUCUGCUGAAUACAGCAAUUUUAGUUAUUAUCAAUCAUGAAACAUGUAGGUUCUCAAAAUGAGAGGAUAAAACAUGCACUGGCUCUAAUGUUUGUCUGUCCAGACAGCAUAGUUGGCUUCAUGAAGGUUCCUGUGAUUUCUUUAUAAUUUCACGUAUUUA